CGUCCCCCAGCACUUCUGUCUUUGAACCCUCCUUGCAAUGAAACUCCUGCGAAAGCCUCUUACAGAUCGCUCACAUUGGGUCAAACACUGGAGGCAAAAUUAAUCCAUUGUUUGGGAUCGAGAGGAAAUGGAGUUCUCGCUGGGUUUCAACUGCCACAAGGCGUUUCCUUAUCACAGCUGAAUUUGAAUGGGGGAGCAGAGAGCAGCUGUUCACCCUAGCCGGAAGGGAGAUGUCAAAACCUGUUGUACGGACUUAGAUCUAAGAAAUUCUCUUCUUAAGCACCCUAAAAUGCAGGUCUAUGCCGCUAUAGGUUGCACGUAGUGGGACAGCUGAGAUCCUGACCCCACUGGAAAAUCAAAACAUGUCAGAGGAUCAUUGCCAGG
rnacentral:lncRNA from 1 species